GAUGAAUGCUGGCGGCGUGCCUAAUACAUGCAAGUCGAGCGAACGGACGAGAAGCUUGCUUCUCUGAUGUUAGCGGCGGACGGGUGAGUAACACGUGGAUAACCUACCUAUAAGACUGGGAUAACUUCGGGAAACCGGAGCUAAUACCGGAUAAUAUUUUGAACCGCAUGGUUCAAAAGUGAAAGACGGUCUUGCUGUCACUUAUAGAUGGAUCCGCGCUGCAUUAGCUAGUUGGUAAGGUAACGGCUUACCAAGGCAACGAUGCAUAGCCGACCUGAGAGGGUGAUCGGCCACACUGGAACUGAGACACGGUCCAGACUCCUACGGGAGGCAGUAGUAGGGAAUCUUCCGCAAUGGGCGAAAGCCUGACGGAGCAACGCCGCGUGAGUGAUGAAGGUCUUCGGAUCGUAAAACUCUGUUAUUAGGGAAGAACAUAUGUGUAAGUAACUGUGCACAUCUUGACGGUACCUAAUCAGAAAGCCACGGCUAACUACGUG
rnacentral:rRNA from 1 species